ACCCAAUAUUGCGCUCAUUUUAUUUCUUUUAUUAUUUCCUAAUGUUUGUAUUUGGUUAGCCAUUGUAUUUAGGCCAUUAACAUAGGAAUAUUGAAGGAAUGUUAAAAUAGGUCAAGAAGCUUAAAUCUAGGUUUCAUUUGAUAGUCAUUUAAGAUGCAUUUAGAUCACAUGUUUCUUGUUAAGCAUGCUGAACAUGUGCACCUCCUAAUACACUUCAAAUGUCCCCUAAAUGAAACUUAGAUGCAUGGCAGCCCCAAAUUCACAAAAUAACACAUGGAGCCUUGAAUUUGAAUUCAAAAUUUCCAUUUGAAUUUGAAUUUUUGGCACCAACUGUGGCUAGUGAAGUUGGUGCCACCUAACUUGCUUCUAGGAUCUAUAAAUGCUUGUUCCUUCACUCUUUGUAAACACUUCGAGCAUAAUUGAGAAUUCUUCUGAAUACAUUUCAGAUUUCUCUCCCCAAAGUCACCUAGGUUCUUAUUUUAGCUUUAGGAAUCUUACAUUUCUAAAGCCAAAAACUGUGAGCCUUCUUUUGCACUCCUAGCUUGAGUCCUUCCAUCUUAAGAUUGGUUCAUCCGAACCUAGCUUCCUUCAUCUCCUUUCUUUCCAGAAUUUUGGACUCAAAGAUUAAGAUCAUUUGCGGAACCAAGCAAGGAAGAUUCAACAUUUCAUCUCACCUACUUGGCUUCAUCAUUUUUGGUAUCAAGAGCAAGGUUGAAGUCUUUGAGGUCAAGAAAAUUCAAAAAGAAAUCCAGAUUAGAGACGAAUUUAGAGACCAAUUCUGAUUGCUGGAAAAUCUAUCAUAAGAAAAUCUGUCUCUAAUUCUGUCACAAAUUUUGUCUCUAAAUUCUGUUUUAGGCUAGUUUACAUUUUCUUGCAAUUUUCUUUGUUUUAACACCAUUGUAAUAGCUUAGAGAGAGUAUUAAGAAGCUGGUCAAAUAUAUCUUAAUCUCUAUAGAUCACUCACGUGUAGAUCUAGUGGAAGUGGCUUGAAAAUUUUAUAUGAUUUCAAGUUUUCACUUAGGAAACUGACUAGCUUGUUAAUCUUUAUUCUUUGCUAUUGUUUAAUUUUUCUUUCA